rnacentral:rRNA from 1 species
UGGGGAAUAUUGCACAAUGGGCGCAAGCCUGAUGCAGCCAUGCCGCGUGUGUGAAGAAGGCCUUCGGGUUGUAAAGCACUUUCAGCGAGGAGGAAGGUGGUGAACUUAAUACGUUCAUCAAUUGACGUUACUCGCAGAAGAAGCACCGGCUAACUCCGUGCCAGCAGCCGCGGUAAUACGGAGGGUGCAAGCGUUAAUCGGAAUUACUGGGCGUAAAGCGCACGCAGGCGGUUUGUUAAGUCAGAUGUGAAAUCCCCGGGCUCACCUGGGAACUGCAUUGAACUGGCAAGCUAGAGUCUCGUAGAGGGGGGUAGAAUUCCAGGUGUAGCGGUGAAAUGCGUAGAGAUCUGGAGGAAUACCGGUGGCGAAGGCGGCCCCCUGGACGAAGACUGACCGCUCAGGUGCGAAAGCGUGGGGAGCAAACA